rnacentral:lncRNA from 1 species
UCUCCUGCCUCAGCCUCCCAAGUAGCUGGGAUUACAGCUCUCUGCAUGUGACACGCUGACUCCCCUUCUGCCAUGAUUGUAAGUUUCGUCACUAGAAGCAGAUGCCGACACUAUGCUUCAUGUACAGCCUGCAGAACUGUGAGCCAAGAACUAUGUACUGAAGAUUUGGGGGCAAAAGAGGACCACAUCUGCAACUAACUGGAGAUGGUUCAGAAGAUGAUGCACACACACUCAAGCAUAUCGAGAGAGAAAGGGGCAGAGGACACAGAAGGCCCUGAGUUUAAUGUGCAUGUUUUGGGGAAUUUGGAAGAAGAGCCCCUGAUAAUUCAUCCUUCAUUAUUCUUGCAACUUUUCUCUAAAUCUGAAAUUAUAUUAAA